rnacentral:rRNA from 1 species
CAGCCGCCGCGGGAAUACAGAGGGUGCGAGCGUUAAUCGGAUUUACUGGGCGUAAAGCGUGCGUAGGCGGCUAAUUGAGUCGGAUGUGAAAUCCCCGAGCUUAACUUGGGAAUUGCAUUCGAUACUGGUUAGCUAGAGUGUGGGAGAGGAUGGUAGAAUUCCAGGUGUAGCGGUGAAAUGCGUAGAGAUCUGGAGGAAUACCGAUGGCGAAGGCAGCCAUCUGGCCUAACACUGACGCUGAGGUACGAAAGCAUGGGGAGCAAACAGGAUUAGAGACCCGCGUAGUCCCUGUCUCUUAUAA